rnacentral:rRNA from 1 species
GAUGAACGCUGGCGGCGUGCCUAAUACAUGCAAGUCGAGCGAACAGACGAGGAGCUUGCUCCUCUGCCGUUAGCGGCGGACGGGUGAGUAACACGUGGAUAACCUACCUAUAAGACUGGGAUAACUUCGGGAAACCGGAGCUAAUACCGGAUAAUAUAUUGAACCGCAUGGUUCAAUAGUGAAAGACGGUUUUGCUGUCACUUAUAGAUGGAUCCGCGCCGCAUUAGCUAGUUGGUAAGGUAACGGCUUACCAAGGCGACGAUGCGUAGCCGACCUGAGAGGGUGAUCGGCCACACUGGAACUGAGACACGGUCCAGACUCCUACGGGAGGCAGCAGUAGGGAAUCUUCCGCAAAGGGCGAAAGCCUGACGGAGCAACGCCGCGUGAGUGAUGAAGGUCUUCGGAUCGUAAAACUCUGUUAUUAGGGAAGAACAAAUGUGUAAGUAACUAUGCACGUCUUGACGGUACCUAAUCAGAAAGCCACGGCUAACUACGUG